GACACUCAGGUACCAUGCUGAUCCAUGAUUGAGGACACUCAGGUACCAUGCUGAUCCAUGAUUGAGGACACUCAGGUACCACGCUGAUCCAUGAUUGAGGACACUCAGGUACCAUGCUGAUCCAUGAUUGAGGACACUCAGGUACCACGCUGAUCCAUGAUUGAGGACACUCAGGUACCACGCUGAUCCAUGAUUGAGGACACUCAGGUACCAUGCUGAUCCAUGAUUGAGGACACUCAGGUACCACGCUGAUCCAUGAUUGAGGACACUCAGGUACCAUGCUGAUCCAUGAUUGAGGACACUCAGGUACCAUGCUGAUCCAUGAUUGAGGACACUCAGGUACCACGCUGAUCCAUGAUUGAGGACACUCAGGUACCAUGCUGAUCCAUGAUUGAGGACACUCAGGUACCAUGCUGAUCCAUGAUUGAGGACACUCAGGUACCACGCUGAUCCAUGAUUGAGGACACUCAGGUACCAUGCUGAUCCAUGAUUGAGGACACUCAGGUACCACGCUGAUCCAUGAUUGAGGACACUCAGGUACCAUGCUGAUCCAUGAUUGAGGACACUCAGGUACCAUGCUGAUCCAUGAUUGAGGACACUCAGGUACCACGCUGAUCCAUGAUUGAGGACACUCAGGUACCACGCUGAUCCAUGAUUGAGGACACUCAGGUACCAUGCUGAUCCAUGAUUGAGGACACUCAGGUACCAUGCUGAUCCAUGAUUGAGGACACUCAGGUACCAUGCUGAUCCAUGGCCUGAAACUCAAUGUUUUUCAAUAGAGUCGGCGGAAUGAACACACCCCUGACGACACGCAAACACAUUUCACUUCCAUAGAAGCCACAUACAAACAGCGUG